UACGAAGGGGGCUAGCGUUGUUCGGAAUCACUGGGCGUAAAGCGCACGUAGGCGGAUUGUUAAGUCAGGGGUGUAAUCCCGAGGCUCAACCUCGGAACUGCCUCUGAUACUGGCAAUCUUGGAGUCCGGGAGAGGUGAGUGGAAUUCCGAGUGUAGAGGUGAAAUUCGUAGAUAUUCGGAAGAACACCAGUGGCGAAGGCGGCUCACUGGCCCGGUACUGACGCUGAGGUGCGAAAGCGUGGGGAGCAAACAGG
rnacentral:misc_RNA from 1 species